rnacentral:rRNA from 1 species
ACGAACGCUGGCGGCGUGCUUAACACAUGCAAGUCGAACGGUGAAGCGAGUGCUUGCACUCGUGGAUCAGUGGCGAACGGGUGAGUAACACGUGAGUAACCUGCCCAUCACUCUGGGAUAAGCACUGGAAACGGCGUCUAAUACUGGAUACGACCAACCCUUGCAUGGGGUGUUGGUGGAAAGAUUUAUCGGUGAUGGAUGGACUCGCGGCCUAUCAGCUUGUUGGCGGGGUAAUGGCCCACCAAGGCGACGACGGGUAGCCGGCCUGAGAGGGUGACCGGCCACACUGGGACUGAGACACGGCCCAGACUCCUACGGGAGGCAGCAGUGGGGAAUAUUGCACAAUGGGCGAAAGCCUGAUGCAGCGACGCCGCGUGAGGGAUGACGGCCUUCGGGUUGUAAACCUCUUUCAGCAGGGAAGAAGCGAAAGUGACGGUACCUGCAGAAGAAGCACCGGCUAACUACGUG